GCGGGCGUCGAGCGCCUUGGUCCAGCUCGCCGGGUUGCCGAUCCGGAUGGCCGUGGCGAUGGUGGACGGCUCCGGCACCACCUGCCCGGU
rnacentral:tRNA from 1 species